UACGUAGGGGGCAAGCGUUGUUCGGAAUUACUGGGCGUAAAGGGCGCGUAGGCGGCACGGCAAGUCGGGAGUGAAAGGCCUGGGCUCAACCGAGGAACUGCUUUCGAGACUGCCGAGCUAGAGUGCGGAAGGGGCAACUGGAAUUCCCAGUGUAGCGGUGAAAUGCGUAGAUAUUGGGAGGAACACCGGUGGUGUAGACGGCUUUCUGGACCGUAACUGACGCUGAGACACGAAAGCGUGGGUAGCAAACAGG
rnacentral:rRNA from 1 species